UGAUUGGUGCACGUGGUGAUAGAUCAGGACCAUUUAAUCAGUGGGCCACCUCUUUGAUGAGCCAUAUUGCAAAAAUCAAGCUCCUUGGCAGCUCGUAGCUGCCUGAUCCAUCUAUCUUUGGACAGGUGGUGGUAGAAAAUAGUUUAGAGCAGUUGUCUAGAACUACUUGAUUAAUGCACAAGCAUUGGCGCCAUCCAUGAGGUUGUUGGUAAUCAAACUAGACGAACACAAAAUUCCAUAGAGAGGCUUAAGGGUUAUUGUUGCAAUGCAUUAGGUCGAUAUACCUAUACAGCAAAGCUAUCUGUGGUAUGGUUCAAGCAUUGGAGACAAUGAUCCACAGGUUUCUGGCACAUACAUAUUUUGACUAGAUGGCGCUCCUCAAACAGUUGCUUCAAGAUCGAUAAUCCAACUGGUUUCCAGUUUCUUGUUCAUCAUAAAUUACUGAAUAAUGACUUGAGAAAAUUGAAACCAUUAAAAAGCAGUGUUGGUUAGCUUGUUUGUGGUUUUAAGGUUACUAAACCUUGAAUGUAAUAUCAUUUGACUGUAGGUACCCUUGAAGAUUGUGUGAGGACCUCUAGUUGAUGAAGUUCAUCAACAAUUCAAUCUGUGGAUUAAUCAGCUUUCUUUGAUACAUUGGUCUUGUUGAAUUGUGUUGGUAAGAUAUCAACAGCGAUAUAGAACUGAGAGAUGUUUACUUUAGCUACCCUACAAGACUUGACAUUCAUGUAUUUUCUGGGUCCUCAUUGCAUGUUCCAAGCGGCAUAACUAUGGAUCUAGUUGGAGAGAGCGGCAGUGGGAAGUCGACAGUGAUCAGCCUGUUGGAGAGGUUCUAUGACCCCUAAGCUGGUGAAGUGCUCAUAGAUGGCAUCAACUUGAAGAAGCUGCAGCUUGUUAGCCAAGAGCUCAUCUUAUUCACAACUACCAUAAAGGAGAAUAUCGCAUAUGGUAAGGCGGGUGCUACAGUGGAAGAAAUUAGAAUAGUAACUGAGAUUACUAAUGCUGCAAGGUUUAUAGACAAGAUGUCACAGGUCACUUGCUUGUACUUUUUUUUGGUAAAUUCAUACUACUCUCUCAAAGAUGUUGUCGGUGAAAGGCUAGGAAAGGAAGACAUUUGUAGUUUUUUUUUUGAUAAAUUAAUUGUUUUGUUGAUAUUAUGCUGA